rnacentral:rRNA from 1 species
AAUCAACGCUGGCGGCGUGCCUAACACAUGCAAGUCGAACGAGAAGGUGACUUCGGUCACUGGAUAGUGGCGUCCGGGUGAGUAACACGUAGGUAAUCUACCUUCGGGUGGGGAAUAACGUCUCGAAAGAGACGCUAAUACCGCAUAAUGCAGCGGCACCUAAUGGUGAUUAGUUGUUAAAGCGGGGGAUCUUCGGACCUCGCGCCUGAAGAGGAGCCUGCGGCAGAUAGCUAGUUGGUGAGGUAAUGGCUCACCAAGGCUUCGAUCUGUAGCUGGUCUGAGAGGACGGCCAGCCACACUGGCACUGACACACGGGCCAGACUCCUACGGGAGGCAGCAGUGGGGAAUUUUGGGCAAUGGGCGAAAGCCUGACCCAGCAACGCCGCGUGAAGGAGGAAAUCCUUCGGAUGUAAACUUCAAUAAGUAAGGGAAGAAAGCUGCGGAUCGAAUAAGUCCGC